CCUACGGGAGGCAGCAGUGAGGAAUAUUGGUCAAUGGACGAGAGUCUGAACCAGCCAAGUAGCGUGAAGGAUGACUGCCCUAUGGGUUGUAAACUUCUUUUAUAUGGGAAUAAAAUGUUCCACGUGUGGGAUUUUGUAUGUACCAUAUGAAUAAGGAUCGGCUAACUCCGUGCCAGCAGCCGCGGUAAUACGGAGGAUCCGAGCGUUAUCCGGAUUUAUUGGGUUUAAAGGGAGAGUAGGUGGAUUGUUAAGUCAGUUGUGAAAGUUUGCGGCUCAACCGUAAAAUUGCAUUUGAAACUGGCAGUCUUGAGUACAGUAGAGGUGGGCGGAAUUCGUGGUGUAGCGGUGAAAUGCUUAGAUAUCACGAAGAACUCCGAUUGCGAAGGCAGUUCACUGGACUGCAACUGACACUGAGGCUCGAAAGUGUGGGUAUCAAACAGGAUUAGAUACCCUAGUAGUC
rnacentral:rRNA from 1 species